UACUAGAAUUUGUACUUUACUAAGAAAGUGUAAUCCCAAAUAUAACAUAUGUUACAUUACAAAUUUAAUCAAAUAUUGAAAGUUUGGAUUCUUGAACAUUUUCUUCCUUUCUUUCUUCACAAAUCACAAUAUAACACCAUAUUAUACAUCCAAAAUUUAAAUGUACAAAGCAUGCAACAUCAGAAUACAAUAUGGAAUACAAAAUUUUCCCUAAAUCUUUAUGAAAUGUAUAUAAUGUUUUUAGUUCUAAAUAUCCUGGUUAUAUUUCUAUCAACUGCUUACACGUUCGCCGCAUGUAGAAUAUAGCGUCACAGAAGAAAAGUGAUAUUUUGCCCUUGAGCAUCGUACGAAAAAUAUGAGCCCCGAUAUUUUCGCCCUCGUGGGUUAUAUUUGGUUCAUUCAGGUCACUUUAUGUAUUGGUUUUCCUAUAAUUGUACUUACCUGACAACAGCUUAUGUGAGUAAAGUAAACAAACUAGGCAAUACAUACAUAAGGCUUCUUGUUGCUAUAAUCAACAUAUUUAAAGUGGUAGCUAAGGAUGAACCUGCAACCAGCUUUAUAUCGAGGUAAACGGACCCGGGGAAAUGAA